rnacentral:rRNA from 1 species
AAUUUGAAAGCUGCCAACAGGCCGCGUUGUAAUUUGUAGAAGAUGCUUUGGGUGUCGGCCCAGUCUAAGUUCCUUGGAACAGGACGUCAUAGAGGGUGAGAAUCCCGUAUGUGAUUGGUGCCGUCACCCGUGUAAAGCUCUUUCGACGAGUCGAGUUGUUUGGGAAUGCAGCUCAAAAUGGGUGGUAAAUUUCAUCUAAAGCUAAAUAUUGGCCAGAGACCGAUAGCGCACAAGUAGAGUGAUCGAAAGAUGAAAAGCACUUUGGAAAGAGAGUUAAACAGUACGUGAAAUUGUUGAAAGGGAAGCGCUUGCAAUCAGACUUGCAGGCGGUUGAUCAUCCGGGGUUCUCCCCGGUGCACUCGAUCGUCUUCAGGCCAGCAUCGGUUUCAGUGGUGGGAUAAAGGCUGUGAGAAUGUGGCUCUUCGGAGUGUUAUAGCUCACGGUGCAAUGCCGCCUACUGGGACCGAGGACCGCGCUUCGGCUAGGAUGCUGGCGUAAUGGUUGUAAGCGACCCGUCUUGAAACACGGACCAAGGAGUCUAACAUCUAUGCGAGUGUUUGGGUGUCAAACCCAUACGCGUAAUGAAAGUGAACGGAGGUGAGACCCCGUUAGGGCGCAUCAUCGACCGAUCCUGAUGUCUUCGGAUGGAUUUGAGUAAGAGCAUAGCUGUUGGGACCCGAAAGAUGGUGAACUAUGCGUGAAUAGGGUGAAGCCAGAGGAAACUCUGGUGGAGGCUCGCAGCGGUUCUGACGUGCAAAUCGAUCGUCAAAUUUGCGUAUAGGGGCGAAAGACUAAUCGAACCAUCUAGUAGCUGGUCCUG